GCGGGCGUGGCGAAAUUGGUAGACGCAAGGGACUUAAAAUCCCUCACCUCUUGGUAUGUGGGUUCGAGUCCCACCGCCCGCACCA
rnacentral:tRNA from 1 species